rnacentral:rRNA from 1 species
ACGAACGCUGGCGGCGUGCCUAACACAUGCAAGUCGAACGGAAUUUAAAUGAGAGCUUGCUCUGAUUUAAAUUUAGUGGCGGACGGGUGAGUAACGCGUGAGCAACCUGCCUUUUUGAGGGGGAUAACACCGGGAAACCGGUGCUAAUACCGCAUAAUAUAUUGAGGUCGCAUGGCUUUGAUAUCAAAGGAGUAAUCCGCAAAAAGAUGGGCUCGCGUCCGAUUAGCUAGUUGGUGGGGUAAAGGCCUACCAAGGCGACGAUCGGUAGCCGGACUGAGAGGUUGAACGGCCACAUUGGGACUGAGACACGGCCCAGACUCCUACGGGAGGCAGCAGUGGGGGAUAUUGCACAAUGGGGGAAACCCUGAUGCAGCAACGCCGCGUGAGGGAAGAAGGUUUUCGGAUUGUAAACCUCUGUCCUAGGUGAAGAAAGAAAUGACGGUAGCCUGGGAGGAAGCUCCGGCUAACUACGUGCCAGCAGCCGCGGUAAUACGUAGGGAGCGAGCGUUGUCCGGAAUUACUGGGUGUAAAGGGUGCGUAGGCGGCCUUGUGGGUCAGGCGUGAAAUACAUGGGCUUAACCCAUGGACUGCGCUUGAAACUAUAAGGCUUGAGUGAAGUAGAGGCAGGCGGAAUUCCCGGUGUAGCGGUGAAAUGCGUAGAGAUCGGGAGGAACACCAGUGGCGAAGGCGGUCUGCUGGGCUUUAACUGACGCUGAGGCACGAAAGCAUGGGUAGCAAACAGGAUUAGAUACCCUGGUAGUCCAUGCCGUAAACGAUGAUUACUAGGUGUGGGUGGUCUGACCCCAUCCGUGCCGGAGUUAACACAAUAAGUAAUCCACCUGGGAAGUACGACCGCAAGGUUGAAACUCAAAGGAAUUGACGGGGGCCCGCACAAGCGGAGGAACAUGUGGUUUAAUUCGAUGAUACGCGAGGAACCUUACCCGGGCUUAAAUUGCAUUUGAAUAUAUUGGAAACAGUAUAGUCGUAAGACAAAUGUGAAGGUGCUGCAUGGUUGUCGUCAGCUCGUGUCGUGAGAUGUUGGGUUAAGUCCCGCAACGAGCGCAACCCUUACUGUUAGUUGCUACGCAAGAGCACUCUAGCAGGACUGCCGUUGACAAAACGGAGGAAGGUGGGGACGACGUCAAAUCAUCAUGCCCCUUAUGACCUGGGCUACACACGUACUACAAUGGUCGUUAACAAAGGGAAGCAAAGCCGCGAGGUGGAGCCAACCCCUAAAAACGGUCUCAGUUCAGAUUGCAGGCUGCAACUCGCCUGCAUGAAGUCGGAAUUGCUAGUAAUCGCAGAUCAGCAUGCUGCGGUGAAUACGUUCCCGGGCCUUGUACACACCGCCCGUCACACCAUGGGAGCCGGUAAUACCCGAAGUCAGUUGCUCAACCGCAAGGAGGGCGCUGCCGAAGGUAGGAUUGGCGACUGGGGUG